AUGCAUGGAGAGGACCUAGACAACCUCUUUGAAGGAAGCUCAUUGGCUGCUCAGUUUCCAAGUUUCACUGGUGACAUUGUGCUGACCCAGUCUGCAGCUUCUUUGCCUUCUUUCUCUAGGGCAGAGAUACACUUUUACAACACUGCCAGUGAGAGUGUCAAUUCAUUUAACUACAGUUUUAUGCAGUGCUAUCAACAGAAAUCAGGACAUCCCCCUAACCUCUUCAUGUAUGCAGCAUCCAACCUAGUAUCUGGGGUCCCUGCCAGCUUCAGUGACAGUGGGUCUUGGACAGACUUCAGCCUCACCAUUCAACCUGUGGAGGCUGAUCCUGCUACAAUCUAUUACUGUCAGCGGAGUAGGGAGUUCACUCCCACAAUGCUCCAGAGCUAA